AAUUCUCAAACUUUUUCCUUGUUAAUCUUGGAGACAGUUUGGAUCUGAGAGUUGCUGGUUUUCUUAAAUCGGCUCUCUUUAAAUGCAUUAGUAGUUUUGGCUUUGUUCCACAUUCUCAAUUGAUGUGAUAGUUAUCUACAUCAUUCGAGAUUGAAUCUGCUUCUAACUGUCUUUUUGACAAAUACUUUGACA
rnacentral:misc_RNA from 1 species